ACAGGGUGACCCGCUGGAAGCCACAGAGGGAAGAUAACCUGGAGGGAAAACUAGAGCUGAAAAGCUGCAGCUGGGAUUGAAGGCUGGAGGCUGGAGCAGUGAGCCCUUCUGUUCUGAGUAGGGCUGGGCUCUCCCAGCAAAGGGCCUGUGUCACCAGCAGCGACCGCUCAGGGGAGCCUUGGUCGCUGAAUGGCUCUUUGGGUGGUGUGGUCUCCCUCUGGCCAGACCUACAGAGUGGCCCUCCAGCACCCAGCCUUGCUGAGUCCCUGCAGGCCUGCUCUGAGGGAAGGGGCUGAUAGUUCAGACGUUCAGAGAAGGUGCCUGGUGGCUCCGGAACUGAGCCCUUGGACAGGAGGCGUUGCAGGUGCCGGGCAUUGGAGGGACCUCACGCUCCGCGUUUCCUUCCCUAGCAGAGCUCAAACGACCUGCUGCCGCAUCGGGCAUUGUUCUCUCCCUCCUCACCCAGAGGAAAGUCCCCAUGGCCCAUUUUCUGAGCUGUGCUUUUCCACUCUUUCGUAAUCUAUUAUUGUGACCUUGAGAUGCAGAGAGAGAAGGCUUUGGCAGGACGCACUGCCUUUGGAACCAGAGCUGCUGCUAUCUGUGCCCUGGACCACAUGCUCCAUGGCCAUGGCCGUGCCAGUCCUACUGGUUCCUCUGCAACCGCCACCCAAGUCAGCGCCUGCAGGAGCGUGGACACUGAGAGGACUGGGACAGCGAGGAAAGUGUGCUUACAGAAGGGCCGUGUGUGUGUGUGUGUGUGUGUGUGUGUGUGUGUGUGUUAGAGAUGCACAGAGGUACAGACACAGGAAAGAAAGAGACCAAGAGAAUCUGCCUUUAAAGUAGACUUCAAGUUAUUUGUUUCUAGGACUGUACCUGAUAGAUUUGAUUCUCACCAAACUCAGUUGCAAAAACUCUAUCCAGGGAAAGGAAUCUGCAAGCCGGAGGCACGGAGCCGUGGGGACUCAGGGGCAGGAGGACUGUGGUCACCCUUGGGUCCCCACACUCGUGUCCCCGUUCCCUGCAGCCCCGUUCUUCUCUCUGUCUUCACCCUGCUUUGCGUGGGCAGAUGCUCCUGCCAAAGCUUACUUCAUCAGAUGAAAUGAAGGGGAAUCUGAUUUGCCACUAAUUGGACUUAGUGUAGGCAAUUAGGGUUAAGCUGCGAUGAGGGAACCACCAGACGCUGGGAUUUUCAUCACAGUCCUGAGAAAUUCUUCCAGAAUUUAAGUGGUUGCAAAUCACGAUAUUAGUUUACAGUGGCAAUAUUUUAAAUCAGUUUAAAACAGGAUAUUGGCCGCCUGGAAAUAGCCAGCUCAGGCAUUGCCGUUAUAUAGAUAUAAAUGUACAUAAUGUGUGUAUGUGCAUAUAUGUGUCUAUACACAGACAUAUACACAUAUAUACACACAUAUACACAUACACUGUACACUUCUAUAUUUUUAUAUAUACACCAUAUAUAUAAAAAGAUAGUCAGUGGUGAGACUAUAUAUGCAUAUCUCUCGCCAGGUGAACAAGGGCAUUUAACAGGCACACAGGGUGUUUCCCUUUUCCUUUUCUCAGUUGCCUCAUCUUCAAUUCCUGUCUGGAAUCAAUCAUUCACAGAUAAUGAGGCUAGAGCAACAGUUCCUGGGCCGUCUAUCUCCUCCCGUGAAAGGAGUUUUCACUCUGCAUGGGGCUUGCAGUAUUUUAAGCCAUCACCUCAUCAGCACUUGUGGCGAUGCUUCUGCCAUGCCGCUGUUCAAAUCUUAGAGCCUGCCCUGCAAGCAGAAGCAUCCAUUUCACCUACUGGUGCAUUCAGUCAUUUCAUCCUUCACUUAGUAUCCAACAAACACUUACUGAUUGCUUGCUCUCCGGACAGCCCUGUGGACACCACCAAUGGGGUGGGAGAUGCAUGUGUUAUGUGUGACUGCAUACGUGUGGUAUGUGCGUAUCUUCAUGUGUCUCUGUGUAUGUGUGUGCUAUGUGAGUAAGCAUGUGUAUGUGUGUGUCUGUGUAUAUAUAAAUAUAUGUGUGCCUCUGUAUCUCUGUGUGUUUGUAUCUGUGUUGCGUGUGUUUGUGUGUGUCAGUGUCUGUGUGUGCGUGUGUCUGUGUCUCUGGGUAUGUCUGUGUGUGCUUAUGUGUGUGUCUGUGUCUGUGCAUGUCUGUGUGUAUGUCUGUAUGUGUGCAUCUGUCUAUAUGUGUGUAUGUCUCUGUGUCUGUGUGUAUAUGUCUAUGUCUCUGCGUGUCUGUGUGUGUCUGUGCAUGCAUGUGCAUGUGUCUGUGUGUUCCUGUGUGUAUCUGUGUGCCUGUGUGUGUGAGCUCACAGCUCUGGAACUUACAUGCAGAAAUAGGCAUACACAAUCGUGCCCACACACACCAGUUGCAUGCUUAUUCCUACUCUGUGGCUCUCAGGCUGCAUGAGUAAGUCCCCAAGCCAUUUCCCUCCCCGGUCAGAGCAGCCACCUGCUUUCAGGACAGCAGCUGCCAUUUAUGUUUCCAUUUCUGGCACCCAGUGACCUCGCUGAGAGCGGCUGAGGAGAAACAGACACCGACACCCCGUCCUUAUCUGCAGCAGCUCCCACAGAACCACAAAAAGGGGUAUCUUCAAGGGUGGUGGCACAAAGCAAGGACGGCGAUGACGGGGGUCAGGAAGCUGCUCAGGACAUUGCAUCGCCCCAAACUUUCUCCCCACAAAUGCAGUUGCCUCUGCCCUGAUUACGAUUCCUGCCAGAUACUCCGAGCAGAAUGCACUUUUGCCAUGGCCAGGCAUUUUCCAUGUUACUCUGUGCCAGCGGUGGCUCUGCAUCUGAGACCUGCCAUUCUGCACACUCAGGAUUAGGUCUUAGUUUGGGAGCUGGGGCUCUCGGUCACUCCCAGCCCCCAGCAGGCAGAUGUGCAGACCCCCUCGCAGGGGACAUGCAGUGAUCAGAAAGAUCUAGGGAAUAUGGUGUGGUAGAGCAGCCCCGGGGACUCUCUAGAUCCGACCCCAGAGGGUAAGUGGGACGUGGCAGCUUUCAUUCAGCUGCAGGGGAGGUGAAGCCUUCCUCUAAGCCCCUGAAAUUGACAGGUGACAGCGUCCUGGCCGCCCUUACACACUCUCCGCGCCUCCCCGGCCUUGGCGCCCACUCUGGCAGAGCUUGAGGAGCCCUUCAGCCCGCCGCUGCACUGUGGGAGCCCCUUUCUGGGCUGGCCGAGGCCGGAGCCGGCUCCCUCAGCUUGCGGGGAGGUGUGGAGGGAGAGGCGCGAGCGGGAACCGGGGCUGCGCGCGGCGCUUGCGGGCCAGCGCAAGUUCCGGGUGGGCGUGGGCUCCGCGGCCCCGCACUCCGAGCGGCGGACCGGCCCGCAAGCCCCGGGCACUGAGCGGCUUAGUGCCUGGGCCAGCAGCUGCUGUGCUCGAUUUCUCGCCGGGCCUUAGCUGCUUCCCCACAGGGCAGGGCUCGGGACCUGCAGCCCACCAUGCCUGAGCCUCCCCCCACACCGCCGUGGGCUCCUGCAUAGCCCAAGCCUCCCCGACAAGCGCCGCUCCCUGCUCCACGGCGCCCAGUCCCAUCGACCACCCAAGGGCUGAGGAGUGCGGGCACAGGGCGCGGCACUGGCAGGCAGCUCCACUUGCGGCCCCGGUGUGGGAUCCACUGAGUGAAGCCUGCUGGGCUCCUGAAUCUGCUGGGGACUUGGAAAAUGUUUAGUCUAGCUACGGGAUUGUAAAUACACCAAUCAGCACUCUGUAUCUAGCUCAAGGUUUGUAAACACACCAAUCAGCACCCUGUGUCUAGCUCAGGGUUUGUGAAUGCACCAAUUGGCACUCUGUAUCUAGCUCAAGGUUUGUAAAUACACCAAUCCACACUCUGUAUCUAGCUAAUCUAGUGGGGACGUGGAGAACUUUCGUGUCUAGCUCAGGGCUUGUAAACGCACCAAUCAGCACCCUGUCAAAACGGACCAAUCGGCUCUCUGUAAAAUGGACCAAUCAGCAGGACGUGGGUGGGGCCAGAUAAGGGAAUAAAAGCAGGCUGCCGCGCUAGCAAUUAUAACCUGGUCGGUUUUCUUUUGUGGUGUGUGUUUAUAUUGUGCGAGUUCUGUUCUUUUGUUCUGCGGUAAAUCUUGUUGUUGUUUGCUGUUUAGGUCUAUGUUCCCUUUAUGAGCUGUAACGCACACCAUGAAGGUCUGCGGCUUGGCUAUUGAGUCAGUGAGAGCGUGAACCUACUAUUAGAAGAAAAACUCUGAAUACGUCUGAACGUCAGAAAGAACGAAGUUUGGACACAUUGUCUUUAAGAACUGUAACACUCACCCCAAGGGUUUAUGGAUUCAUUCUUGAAAUCAGUGAAACCAAAAGCUUUCCAAAGUUUAACACACAGGGUAAGUCUGGGGUGGUCCAGCCUAGAUAAGGGUUUGGUUUGCUGGGGUGAUUUAAUGUAGGAUUAUUGUCGGGCAUAAGGGCAGUUUCUGACAGCUGGGGAGGAUUGUAAAGAAAACCCAUAAUCCUUCAGCCCUGUUCUGCGUGGCCCGUGCUGUGGGUAGGAUACCCUAGAGAACAAACUAGGGUAGAAGGCCUGGGGCCGGCAGACUGAUCAUGUGAUGCUUAGCCUAACUACUAUUCUCUCUAAUCCUGCUAGUAGUAGAUCUGCCAGUGUUCCAUCUUAGCUGAUGUUACUGGUGCUAGGGGAGUGACCUUUUGUGGCUUUCCAGCCAUUAGCCCCUGUAGGAUAGACUGGUUUGUACUGGUGCAGUCUGUUUAAAAACAUGCAUUCCUCAUGGCUCAUCAGUUUUGUGUGUUAAGUCUCGCCAUGCAGGUGGUCUUAAUCUUGUUUUCAACUUGUAGCUCUGCCAUACCUGUCUCUCUAAGGAGACCUAACUAUUGCCUACUUCCCACCUGCGGCCAUUCAUCCACCAGGCCCAAGCUUAUGGGUGUUGAACAAUACAGCUACUUAUUUUUGACAUUGUGUCUUUAUGUGUGUGUCACUCCAGUGGAAGUCAACCCAACCGUGGGUAGGAGACAAUACAUGUAUGAGGAAAGGGAUCACAGGUACAGAAGUUCACAGAACUAAUGCACUUUUUCACAUUUUGGUGCUCAUAAUGCAUUUUCCCCCUAUAGAUAUGAUUUGAGAAAGAAGACACUGAAAGAAUGGAGGAAUAGACACCAAGUUAAUAAGGGUUCCUAACUGAUGAAUUUCACUCUUAGGAUGGCUGAGCCAGAGACCACCAUUUCAUUCUUUUUGCUGUGCCCUGCCUGUUUCGAUGGUUUUCCAGGAUUCCCAACGUGAUAAGUGUGUCCCAGUGUGACGUUAUUUAAUCUAUUCUGGCAAUUCAGUGUCAGUAUCCGUUUUCCCUUCAAAUAUUUCACCAAAGUAUUUAUGCCCCACUACUGUAUUUCAUUGAUUGUAAGAUACACGCUGGUUUUUAUUAGCAUUUCUGAAGUUGAAAUGCGUGGAACAUUGGUGGUGUGUCAUAAUACUUUAGGAUUUGUUACUUAGUGGUACACCAAAUAAUGGUAGGUUGAUGGUGUUUUAGAUUGCCUCGAGAGUUCCUCAAUCAGUAAUAGUAGUUCUAAUAACUCCUUUCCCAACUAUGGGGAGAACACAGGCUCCUUUCUGUACCUGAAAGAAUCUUGCAGGUGCUGCCCUCAACGUCUACUCCAAACCUACUUGACUCUAUCUCGGUGACUGGCUUCAGUACUUUAACCUCCUACUUGGUGUUGGCUUCCCAGCCUGGGUCUCGACAGGGCUGGCCAUUGGUCUGAAUCCUUGCUUUGCCUCUGGUCUCCAUCCUCUGCCACUUCUUGGCUCCGUACUCUGCAGUCGGCAGGCAUUUGCACGUGCGUGAACACCUGCGGGGACUCGGCUGCCUGCUUGCCAGGGCCAUGAGACCUGAAGGAGGACACAGCCUCUCCUUUUUGCUUUUGUGUUCUCAUCGCUUUGCCCAGUUACUGGCACAUGGUAAGGACCCCUUACCAUGUUGACACAAUCCGUGAGACAACAGCUUCGUUGUUUUUAUCCACGCGAGAUAUAUAGGUGCAGAACAUUUAUUUUUUUCCCCCCACAAUAAGGAGGAGCUCUGCCACAGAGCUGUUUCCUAGGCAUUUAGUCUUGACAGCUAUUUGCUGAAUUUUUUCUUUUCCAUGUGGUGCAUUUUUUUUUUCCCUGGCCCUUUGGCUGGGAUGGGAUUUGGUUAGCAUUGCCGGGGGUGUGCAUGGGCUGAGGUGGGGCAUAUGUGUCUUGUCUCUUUCUGCAUAGCUUCAUACCUGGCUUAGCCUUGAAAUUUCCAGUUUAUGUGGGGGCAGGUCCAGGUUUGCUGCUGAGCCCUGCACUGGAGCCAGGUAAGCCUCCACUGGUUGCCUUCCAGCAGAGCCUGGAUGAAGACUGUUUGCAUCUGUCAAAUGAAUAGGAUUCAGUCCUGGUACCUUAUGUAUGUCAGGUAAGGUCCCUGCCAUCAAGAACUCUCCCCGCCCCCACACUCAGCAACAAGCUGAGAAGCAGGACAGGA
rnacentral:lncRNA from 1 species